UUUAACCUCAAAAUUCCGGACGAGAACCUGUGGCUGCAGCAGCUGCAAGCACUAAGAAGGCAAUGGCUAAAGGACCAGGAACUGAGCCCUCGCGAGCCGGUGCUGCCCCCCAGAGAAGAUAUGGCCUAUGGAGAAAUCCUGGAAUAAGUUUUUGGCAAAUAAGAUCUCUUGGAGGAACAUGGUCUAUAAGGUAUACAUAAAGAGUAUGUUUAUUUUUACUCAUGUACUUGUACCUGUCUGGAUUGUUCAUUAUUACAUGAAAUAUCAUGCGGCUAUAAAACCAUAUGCCAUCGUUCAAUUGAAGGCCAGAAAAUUCCCAGGUGAUACAACUGUGGAGACUGGAGAAGUAAUUCAACCUAUGAAAGAAUUUCCUGAUCAACAUCAUUAAAGAUUAUGUAAAAAUUUAAAA